rnacentral:rRNA from 1 species
UAGGGAAUCUUCGGCAAUGGACGGAAGUCUGACCGAGCAACGCCGCGUGAGUGAAGAAGGUUUUCGGAUCGUAAAGCUCUGUUGUUAGAGAAGAACGUUGGUAGGAGUGGAAAAUCUACCAAGUGACGGUAACUAACCAGAAAGGGACGGCUAACUACGUGCCAGCAGCCGCGGUAAUACGUAGGUCCCGAGCGUUGUCCGGAUUUAUUGGGCGUAAAGCGAGCGCAGGUGGUUCUUUAAGUCUGAAGUUAAAGGCAGUGGCUUAACCAUUGUACGCUUUGGAAACUGGAGGACUUGAGUGCAGAAGGGGAGAGUGGAACUCCAUGUGUAGCGGUGAAAUGCGUAGAUAUAUGGAGGAACACCGGUGGCGAAAGCGGCUCUCUGGUCUGUAACUGACGCUGAGGCUCGAAAGCGUGGGGAGCAAACAGGAUUAGAUACCCUGGUAGUCCACGCCGUAAACGAUGAGUGCUAGGUGUUAGGCCCUUUCCGGGGCUUAGUGCCGCAGCUAACGCAUUAAGCACUCCGCCUGGGGAGUACGACCGCAAGGUUG